rnacentral:tRNA from 1 species
GCGGGGGUGGCAGAGUCAGGUCAAACGCGCUGGACUUAAGAUCCAGUGUUUCUUGCGGAACUCAUGGGUUCAAAUCCCAUCCCCCGCG